rnacentral:lncRNA from 1 species
CAGGAAACCAACAAAUCAAGUAAUCUCUCGAUAGAAAGCCAUUUAUAGGUCAUUUGAAAAUUGAAUCCAUAAUCUUUAAUAAAGCUUAUUUAUACCAACGAUGAAGCAAUCUCAAAUAAAUAAAACUGAAAGCAGUGAUAAAUUAGCUCCCUAGCCUUUAUAUGUUUAUUACAUUGUAAUCAUUCAAAUCCACUGAAGUCAAAUUUGUCUUACCAAUUUCCUAAAUUCAAUCCAGUGAGCUCCUGGUCCUUACACAAAGUCAAUUCAUAUUGUCAAGUGACAGCAAGAAAAAUCAAUAUUAUGCUGGUUUUUUUUUCCACCAUCCAGAGGGACAUUACUAAGUGUAAGUAAUAAUACAAGCUUUUACCAUCCACAAAUCUAUUAUUUAUAUGUAAAUUCUAGCCACAUGCUCUGAUACCCUUAAAAUGGCAAUGAAAUAAAAAGCUGACCCUGGGAAAUAUGUCAUACCCAGCAUGGUAGAAAAGAUCCCUAGGGCCUUAGUCAGGAAAUAAAGAGCUGUGCUAGAAUUUUAUUGAAAAAUCGUGAUGACAAAGCCCUUUCCAUUUAAAAACCAUAGUCCGUCAUUGUCAUCAAAUCAAUGGCUGAAAAUGAAUGGAGAGGGUCUCAUUUUGCUUUCUGCUUGGCACCCAGCAUUGGGUAAUGCACUCACAUCACCAGCUACAAAUCAGAUCAGGAGACGGCUCAGAAAUUUCCCUAGAAUGACGACAGGGUUCCUGUUCAGCAGAAGCCCAAGCCCGGCUGGAGCGUGCCUGAGGCUGCCGGCUCUAGACCUGCUUCUCACUGAUCCACUGUCAGUCUGUGGGAUGCAGGAUUCCCCUGCAGUCAGGCCGGCAGCCAGAAAAAGCCCAGUAUCUCCCUCCAUCGUUUCCUGCAGCCUCCACGCACCUGAGCAGAGGUGGAGAGGAUGAGGGGAGGAGCGACUUCAGACCACUGGCUCCUGAGCUGCACCCCUUCUACGUUCCCUGAGGGGAGUCCUCUGGAUGGUGGAGGAGGGGAGAGGCACCCUAUAGGCAAGGGUUCAGAGAGAGAGCUCCUGGCCACUGCUCAGUCUGUCCCCUCCCCCAGCAUUAAAUCAAGAAGGUGUUCCCAAAUUCACAGCACCGUUCUUCAUUGUGGGUGGAAUGAGGGGUACGAGCUCCCUUUCCUAAGCUCUGGUGGCCAAGGCCCUGUACAUGAUGAGGUUUAUGGAGGGUGGUUUACUCAGAACAUGAGGAAGCAGGGUGAAUCUGAUUGGCCCCAUUUUACAAAUGAGGAAACUGAGGCUAAGAAAGGUUAAGUGGUUCCCCCAAGUCACAGCCAGAAAAUGCGUGAGCUGGGAUUUGGGAGCUCCAGGCGGUGACUCUGGAGCUCACCCCCUCAGCCCGAGCAGGCUUCCUGCUAGCAGGUGGCGGGGAGGGAGCUGACUCACAGCUUUUGAUUCGUUCAGUUCUUUUCUGCAUUAGUGCUGUUACUUCAGCCUGAUGAACAGAUACUGCAGUUCCCAUCUCUCACUUUGCAAAAAACAGCCACAGGAGGCUGCUUGCCUGCAAGCCCAGGAGUCACAGCAUUUCCAGGUAACACACUGACACAGCAGCUUGUGGGUAAGUUAAAAGAGAAUGUUUGAGUCCCUAGAGAUCUUCUAAAUCAAGGAUUCUUAACCUGGAGUUCAAGGUAGACCUCAGGGGAAUCUGUAAAGCCCCAAAUUUGUAUAUACAAACAUUUUCCUAGGGCAGGGGUGCAGACCUUUCAUCAGAUUCGAAAAGAGGCUUUAAGCCCCAAAGCGCUAAGGACUGUGCAGGGUCUGGCCAACCAGGCCUCACACUCCCAGGCUCCUGUUGAUUCAUGAGGCAGCACAAUCUGUGAUGGAGAAAACCCAGAGCCAAACACCAGAAGCAGAAUCUGAGCUCUGAAUCUUCUGGCAAACAUUUU